GACGAACGCUGGCGGCGCGCCUAACACAUGCAAGUCGAACGGAGCUGAGAGAAGCUUGCUUUUCUUAGCUUAGUGGCGAACGGGUGAGUAACGCGUGAGUAACCUGCCCUGGAGUGGGGGACAACAGUUGGAAACGACUGCUAAUACCGCAUAAGCCCACGAUCCGGCAUCGGAUUGAGGGAAAAGGAUUUAUUCGCUUCAGGAUGGACUCGCGUCCAAUUAGCUAGUUGGUGAGGUAACGGCCCACCAAGGCGACGAUUGGUAGCUGGACUGAGAGGUUGAACGGCCACAUUGGGACUGAGACACGGCCCAGACUCCUACGGGAGGCAGCAGUGGGGGAUAUUGCACAAUGGGGGAAACCCUGAUGCAGCGACGCCGCGUGGAGGAAGAAGGUUUUCGGAUUGUAAACUCCUGUCGUUAGGGACGAUAAUGACGGUACCUAACAAGAAAGCACCGGCUAACUACGUG
rnacentral:rRNA from 1 species